UACAGAGGUCCCAAGCGUUGUUCGGAUUCAUUGGGCGUAAAGGGUGCGUAGGCGGCGCGGUAAGUCGGGUGUGAAAUCUCGGAGCUUAACUCCGAAACUGCAUUCGAUACUGCCGUGCUUGAGGACUGGAGAGGAGACUGGAAUUUACGGUGUAGCGGUGGAAUGCGCAGAUAUCAGGAGGAACACCGAUGGCGAAGGCAGUUCUCUGGGCCGUAACUGACGCUGAGGAGCGAAAGCGUGGGUAGCGAAUGGG
rnacentral:rRNA from 1 species